AUACGGAGGGGGUUAGCGUUGUUCGGAAUUACUGGGCGUAAAGCGCACGUAGGCGGAUUGGAAAGUUGGGGGUGAAAUCCCAGGGCUCAACCCUGGAACUGCCUCCAAAACUAACAGUCUAGAGUUCGAGAGAGGUGAGUGGAAUUCCAAGUGUAGAGGUGAAAUUCGUAGAUAUUUGGAGGAACACCAGUGGCGAAGGCGGCUCACUGGCUCGAUACUGACGCUGAGGUGCGAAAGCGUGGGGAGCAAAAAGGAUUAGAUACCCUAGUAGUCC
rnacentral:rRNA from 1 species